rnacentral:lncRNA from 1 species
AAGUCUGUUCAGAAAAAGCUGGGUUUCUGUUGACAUAAAGCUACCGAAGUAAUCUGGGAAAUCAGCCAGUGAAAACCAGCAGAUCCCAGAGUAGUAAAGCUCUAUUCACUAACCUUGUUUAUUUCUAACAAAUUGUUUCCCAGAGGGAUCAUGAGCAGCCCAAUUGCCAGGUCUCUCACACCCCAGCAACUAUUAAGACUGGCAAUUCUUUGCUGGUUUCGGAGUGCAGAGCAGCCCCGGAUAGUCCCCUGGAUUCACCGGUCAAACCCUUUAUAGAUUUGGUAUUGAUGAAAUGAUAAGACUAAGAAGAUGCUCAGUAAAGACUAAUUUCUCUCCUCGCUUCCUUGACAGGUCAGUAUGACUGGGAGGGGCAAAAUAGCAGAAAUUUCAAACCAAAGAGUUGGAAAGCCUUG